rnacentral:rRNA from 1 species
GAUGAACGCUGGCGGCGUGCCUAAUACAUGCAAGUCGAGCGAACGGACGAGAAGCUUGCUUCUCUGAUGUUAGCGGCGGACGGGUGAGUAACACGUGGAUAACCUACCUAUAAGACUGGGAUAACUUCGGGAAACCGGAGCUAAUACCGGAUAAUAUUUUGAACCGCAUGGUUCAAAAGUGAAAGACGGUCUUGCUGUCACUUAUAGAUGGAUCCGCGCUGCAUUAGCUAGUUGGUAAGGUAACGGCUUACCAAGGCAACGAUGCAUAGCCGACCUGAGAGGGUGAUCGGCCACACUGGAACUGAGACACGGUCCAGACUCCUACGGGAGGCAGCAGUAGGGAAUCUUCCGCAAUGGGCGAAAGCCUGACGGAGCAACGCCGCGUGAGUGAUGAAGGUCUUCGGAUCGUAAAACUCUGUUAUUAGGGAAGAACAUAUGUGUAAGUAACUGUGCACAUCUUGACGGUACCUAAUCAGAAAGCCACGGCUAACUACGUGCCAGCAGCCGCGGUAAUACGUAGGUGGCAAGCGUUAUCCGGAAUUAUUGGGCGUAAAGCGCGCGUAGGCGGUUUUUUAAGUCUGAUGUGAAAGCCCACGGCUCAACCGUGGAGGGUCAUUGGAAACUGGAAAACUUGAGUGCAGAAGAGGAAAGUGGAAUUCCAUGUGUAGCGGUGAAAUGCGCAGAGAUAUGGAGGAACACCAGUGGCGAAGGCGACUUUCUGGUCUGUAACUGACGCUGAUGUGCGAAAGCGUGGGGAUCAAACAGGAUUAGAUACCCUGGUAGUCCACGCCGUAAACGAUGAGUGCUAAGUGUUAGGGGGUUUCCGCCCCUUAGUGCUGCAGCUAACGCAUUAAGCACUCCGCCUGGGGAGUACGCCCGCAAGGUUGAAACUCAAAGGAAUUGACGGGGACCCGCACAAGCGGUGGAGCAUGUGGUUUAAUUCGAAGCAACGCGAAGAACCUUACCAAAUCUUGACAUCCUUUGACAACUCUAGAGAUAGAGCCUUCCCCUUCGGGGGACAAAGUGACAGGUGGUGCAUGGUUGUCGUCAGCUCGUGUCGUGAGACGUUGGGUUAAGUCCCGCAACGAGCGCAACCCUUAAGCUUAGUUGCCAUCAUUAAGUUGGGCACUCUAAGUUGACUGCCGGUGACAAACCGGAGGAAGGUGGGGAUGACGUCAAAUCAUCAUGCCCCUUAUGAUUUGGGCUACACACGUGCUACAAUGGACAAUACAAAGGGCAGCGAAACCGCGAGGUCAAGCAAAUCCCAUAAAGUUGUUCUCAGUUCGGAUUGUAGUCUGCAACUCGACUACAUGAAGCUGGAAUCGCUAGUAAUCGUAGAUCAGCAUGCUACGGUGAAUACGUUCCCGGGUCU